AACGGCUAUACCAUGCUGAAUAUAUAGCGAUUCUCGUUAGAUCACCGAAGUCAAGCAUCAUUGGGCGCGGUCAGUACUUGGGUGGGUGACCACCUGGGAACACCGUGUGCUGUU